CGAAAGAGAAAAGUUUAUUUUGAUUUUUAGAGGGAAUUUUUUUUUCUCUUAAUUAAAAUUCACAUUUUAAAUCAAUCAUAUUAAUUUGGCCUUUUAAUUAAGUUAAUUUCUUGAUUUAAUUGUGAAGAUUGUCGCUUAUUAUAAAUUCGCUAAUUGUGUUUAUCUUAAUUCUUUCUUAAAUCAAUCUGAUUUGAAUUGAAUUUUUGAUUAGUGUUAAUCUUUUUCUUUCCGCCAUCUUGAUUUAUGUCAAAUGUUUUCUUUUGAUGUUAAUUGAGAUUAGAUUUUUAAUUUUUGUUUUUCUAUUAAUUAACUUUAUCUAAUCAUUGGUGAUCCUUUUUGAUUUUCUUCUUGAUUUCCCAUUCCCACUUUUAAACUUUGGGCUGAGAUUAAAUUGUGAUAAUGAUCGCAAACAACUACAACUCAUUUCUUUUCAUCAACUUUAACCAUGUGAUUAGAUGUAAUUUCUGUUAAUCGUGAUUCAAUCAUAUUGGUGAUCAAAAGAUAAAUCAUCAUAAUCUGAUACCAGAAGAAGAGGAAUCAUGUGCUCAAAAAUUGAUCUUCCAACGGUUUGAUUACUAAUUAGAUUAAAAUUAAAUCUUCAUCUUUGUUUUUCUUCCCUUUUUUUAGGCGCCAUUUUAUCCGUUACACUUUGUCUUCCUUUUCCUUUGUCUCUACCUAAUAUGUUACUAUGGAAACUUGGAAGAUUUUGGAGCCAAAGUGAUCAUUUUAAUUUAGAAAAGAAUAGAAUUUAUUUUAUCUAAAUUUCUUUUCUCAUCUGUAAUAUCAAUACCCUUUGGAUAAAUUGUUAAUAUCUUGUUAGAUAUUAUUGACUUGUGAGGGUAAAAAGUGCCUCAUUAACAUGGAUAAAAGUGAUUAAAGUUAAUCACACCCAUUUCUACGUAUCAAUUAAACAUCAUCCUCAGUGUGUAUGUUAUGUAGAUGACGAUUUCUGGUGCUGAUUAAAUCUCUUCAAUCUUGUGGAGACUUGAACAAUCAUUAUGAUUGUUAUCUCAAUCUUAAUCUUCGCCAUCACCAAGACUUGAUCAUCAUAUCGACGUUAAAUUAAUCAUCUCUAACAUUCUCCAAGAUGAAAAUGGAAAUGGAAAAAGAUCUGUUCAACAUUCACUCAAACUGUGAUCAGUCUUUGACAUCAAAUAACACAAAUAAUCAUUGACCUCGAGAGAGUUUUGGGAUUUUAUCUGUUUUAAUGAUCAUCACCAUUCUUUAUCAUCAUAAUAAUCAUAAUCAUUAUCCUCUGACAACCCACGAUUUGGGUUCAAUUGUUGGUACUCAGAUCAUCACAAGUAACUUUAUCAUCGGUAAAAAUCAUCAUUAUCAUCAAUGUAUGAAUCUAUCCAAACAGUAUUACAAAUCAUUUUGAUAUCAAAACCAAACCUUGAUUUGAUUUGAUAGUAAAAAAAAAACUUCCUAAUCAUGACAAUCUUUACACUAAAUCACCAAAGGAGAAAUUGGAAAAGGAUAGAGAUAUCAAAACAACCGAUGAAACUGACAUUCCAACAUUUAAUUUGAUAAUUUGAGCAUAAUCAAAUACACCUACUGACUUUCUCGCAAAUCAAUCGGCACCAUAAAUUGUUCACAAUUAAGGUUAAAAGACAAAUGAAAGACAUUGAUAACAGCGGACAAAAACUGGUAUAAAUAAGUUUGGGAAAUUGAUCGUUAUUGCGACAAUUAACUUUCACGAUGAUAAAAUGAUUACCUUAAGAAAAAAAGUAAAUAUCUUAAUCUUGGUGACAUUUUAUCAAGCAAAGAAAAAGCCAAAGCAGAGUAACAACUUUCACUAAUCAAAUCAUUAUCAUGCCCUAAUUUGAUUAAAUCGUCAAGAUUGAAUAAUCAAGUAUUACCCAUAACCUUAAAGUAAAUCUAAACUUAAAGUUAAACACAAACUGUGUAAUCAAUUUGAUUGGACAAAGUGAUUUACUUUCGCGAUACAAUAGCAAUCGAAGUGGACUGAUACCUGACCCGGACAGACAAACGACCUAUUUCCCGAUGAAAACUUAUUAUUAGGAUUAGAAUACAUGAACAGUGCGAAAAAAUCAAUCAUCUCAGUGAAACAAUCUAAUUAAGCUCAUAAAUCAUUUGGAAACCACAACAACGACUGUAACCACAAACGAGAUAAUCAAGAUACCAAAAGGCAAAAAAGAUUCACCUGAUAAUCUAACUGUAUAUUAAUAGUAUUAUAAUAAUUGUGAUUUAUUUGGUAACACGAUGUGGUGGCCACUUAGAGCUGGAGAUAAGCUAAUUUAUGGUUUGAUUGAUAAGAUGGACUCUGAAUGGGUUUAAUUGUGACUUUGGAUGUAACUUAUACUCACUAAUCUCAAUCAAACAAUGUGAUUUGCUGAAUUUUCAUUAAAUUCAAUAUAAAUUUACAUGUAUAAUCUGAUGCUCCUUGAGACUGGAUAAGUUGAUCAAAAUAUUUAAAAUGUUGUUACAGGGCCAAAGUUGAUGGAUAAUAAUCAUUUUGACUUGCAGAUUACAUAAGAAUCCGGUUGAUUGGAAAGCAUAUAAAACAAUCAAAUGAUGAUUAAACGUCGCAAGAUAAUUAAAUGAUUACGUUAAUGGAAUCAUAUGAUUUGAUAAAAUGAACCUGGCAUCAAAUCAAUUAAAUAAUUUACACAUUCAACACACAUGUACACUUGAUUAGAUAUUGAAGAUCCCACAAUUGAUUAUGAUUACAAUAGACUAUCACAUUGGUACUAUGGACUUUGCAAAAUUUAAUCAAAUCAUCAUCAUUAUCAAUUAUUAUAAUCAAGAUUGAUCAUCCUCACAACUUCAUCAUGAUAAAAUACAAUGAUAUCAAUUGUUAAGGUAAAGUUACUCAGAGGAACUGGAAACAUUGAAGAUCAUGAAAAGAAUGUGACAAACGGCUUGAUGGUGGUGUUGAUGAUACUGAUACAUUGAUGGUUGAAGGCGAUAUGAUGAUGAUGAUGUUAGUUGAUGAUAUCGAUCAAUGAUGAUGUCCUUAUCCUUACAAAAGACUAACAUUCAAUGAUUUGCGUUCGCAGUGAGAUGAUAAAAAAGAGAUCAACCAGCAAAAGUUAACUUUCUCUUUAUCAACAAAUACACACACACAUCAACAGUAUCAAUAUUAUCAACAAUGGACUUAAUCACUGUGAUCAAAAAGCGAUUGGUCCGGAAAUAGUUUUGUCAUGUGAUAGGGGCCAACACUCUGAUCAUACUGAUUAGAAAACAACAGUGAUUUCCAAGAGACUCCAUUUUUAAUGAGAGUCGAUUCUCCAACAAAGUUAUGAAGAUGGCGAGGAAGAUGAAGAAGAAGAAGAAGAAGAUAAAACUCUUCAAUUGACAGAUCAACAUAUACGAUGAAGACCAAGAGAAGAAGAUAACAAGACAAAAGAUACAUAUCAUUCUAAUAUUAUAUUCGACGUGAUGAUGUGAAAGGGAUGACAUAUAAACACAAAACGGAUAAGAUGAUGAUGAUGAUAAGAAGUUGAUAAGAGAAGCAAAAAAGACAGAAAAUGAAUUAAUCAAGGGAGCGGAGGAUAAUCGAACUGACCAAUAAUCAUCAUCAUCACCAUGAUGAGAUAAUGAUAAUAUUAAUGAUCAUCUUUUUAUGUUAUCAGUUUCAUCAUUUACUCAUGUUUUCAUUCAAUAGUCAAUAUUUGAGUUUUUAUAUUGAUGAUGAUAGACAAUCAUGUUCAAAUCUGAUUGUUGGUUUAUGAUUGAUAAUUACUUAUGAACUAUCACCACAACCACAUUAAAUCCUCAUUGCAGUUAAAUCAAGGAUAAUUAAACUAUUUUCUAACAACAAUAGAAAUUAAAUUGUACAAAAGAAACAACAAAAACAACAGAGUAAAAAGAGAUGUUGGAUUUAGGUGUUAAUCAGUUGGAAUCAGAUACAAUUGAAGAUUUGCUGUAGAAGAUGAAAAUUUAUCAUUUACCUCAUCGUCUUCAUUUGAUGCUAUUUAACCUAAAUGCUGCUGAUAACCCACAACAAUUUAAUGUUAUUUUCAAGGAUUUCACUUGAUGUUAUAUUAUCACUCCCGAACCAGAGCAAAGUUAAAAAACAUCGUCAUCAACAACAACAACAAACAUUAUCAUGAUGAUGAUUAUUAUUAUCAUCAUCUUAUUUAUUCCUAUGAUUUUCUGUGCCUUAGGAGCAGAUAGUUAGUGUAAUAAUCAGAUUAUGUCUCCCCUUGAUCAUCCUGCAAUUUACUGAUAACGGAUUUUGCAAAGUUCACUUUCACAAUCUCAUCUUCAUCUGAACAGUUGACGUUUUUUUAUAUGUUACCAUUUACUAUCGAUAAUUUUAUCAAAACUAUUUGUGAACUUUUUUUCAAGUCUAUCCUGUUAUCUGUCUAAUACACUGAAAUUGACGAUUCACUUUUGAUUCAGUUGAUUUGGUUUGAUGAUUCAAUAGUAAUAAUAAUAAUGAUACACAGAUUUAGAUGUGUAAUCAUGAUGAUGAACAGAAAUGAUUCAAAGCUUUUGGUCAAUAUUAAGAUGAUAAUAUUUUCACAUUUAUGAUUCCCAUUGAUGAUAAUGAUGUUGCUGAUGAUCAUCAAUUGAUAAAGUAAAUUAUUUCUGUUUUUAAAGCUAUUACUCAAUGAUAAUAAUUGAUGAUGUUGAUUAAGGUGAGAUUUUGGAUAUUUGCAAUUAACUUUUUGGUUUCGUUAUCAUUUGCCAAUAUAUUAUUAUUAUUAUUAUUACCAUUAUGAGCCAAACUUAUGAUUACAAUUAGUUUUAUAUUAUCA